GUUUCUCUGUGGCUGCCUGCCAGUGUACAGGCAGGCAGCUGACCUGACCCCCUGAUCCUCACUACAACCACCCGGGCCCCUCAAAAGAACAGAAUCAGAUCAGUAAUAGUGACAAAGUCCAACUUCCUAGAUUACUUCAGCUGCUCGGGGAUGCAGAGCUCAGCUGCCUGACACCUCAGGUAACCGGCACCAUGACGGGGAAAGGAGCGCGCCGCACACGUGGGCGGGUGACGUCACCCGGACCCGCCUGGCCGCCGCGCCGUGGGAGCAGAGGGGGUGAUGGUGAAUGUAUAAAGGUAACCAGCGCCAUGACGGGGAAAGGAGCGCGCCGCACACGUGGGCGGGUGACGUCUUCCGGACCCGCCUGGCCGCCGCGCCGUGGGAGCAGAGGGGGUGAUGGUGAAUGUAUAAAGCUGUCGCAAUGGAAACAAGUGGAGAAUUUGAAAAUCCGACCAAACUGCUAGUGCCCAUUUAGCUAAAAGGGAUUUCACCACCAACAUUCCUGAGACCGGGCAUACAGACAGACCUAACCAGACAGCUGAGAGCUACCUGUGACCCUAAAGCCAUCCUGAACCAGAUAGGAGGAUUAAAUGUUAUAGAUUACCAAUGAUCAUAGAGGAACAAUAGUUACUGAAAACGUGUUCUCGUCUGUCUUUAUGUAAUUCCUGCUAUAUGCUGCAUAUAACAUAAAAGCAUUUAAGUGUGAUGUAGAUUUUGUUCACAGAGGAAAUAUGUUGAUUUGAGAAAGAGAUGAUGAAUCUCCCCCCUCCCCCCACCCCCCACCAGCACCAAUUUUGCUCUGUGCUUCUGAUACAUUUGGACAAAUAACUUUGGCGUAUGGAUCAGUUGCUCAAGCAAACAAAAAGUUUCGGAAUAAUUUUUUUUACACUUGUCAUUUAUAUGCUCUCAUAUCCGAAAUUGUAUUGAACUUCUGUCUUCUGUUUUAUGAUUGCCUCAUAGUCAGCAGCGAGAUCUAGUAGGAAUUAAUGUCUAACUUCAAAGCUCCCAUGUCAUGUUAUUUUUUUAUAUAUUUGUUGCACAUGGUGAAAAUGUUGUCUUUAGUUGUUACCAAUGCGAAGUAGUUUAUGCAUUACUGUAUGUGGAUGGUUUCUCUCACUUUGCAGGGUCAAUGGAUCAUCUGUUAGCUGUCAUGAUCCUUCACACAAUAAUGUCAUAGCAUUUAUAGUUUUCACUGCACAUUAAUGCUGACAAGAGAGUACAUCCGUUAGUUGCCAGUGGCGCAGUCUGAGGACUGUGGUAGUCAUAUUUUAUUAUUGAUGUGAUGGAAAUGCCGCUUCUGAUGUGUCUCCUUUCACUGAUCCGGAUUCUAUGUGAGGUAAAGAUUUGCUUUAGAUAAAAUUAUUCCGCACAGAACUUUAGAAAUCUCUCAGGUUCUUACCUUGCUAGGAGAUGUUCACCUUGUAGUGCUAAAAAUGAUUUAACACUUUAAUGUUUAAUUUGACCCUUUUGAGCAAGGAAGCAGAAUUUCAUAUAAAUGACAAGAUGCAUUUAUUUUUGUCAGAUCUAUCUUGCAUAUUCCUGGUCCGCUAGCUUUACCUUUCCCCUGGGAAACUUUUUUUUUUCUUUUCAUUUUAUUUAUGUGAAAGAGUUGCCUGGCAUUUAGUAGCCUUACAAAAGAAAGACUUUCAGCACUUAAAGCAAGACCGUGUACUCUGAGACCAUAAAGGACAUAUAUUAUUCAUGUUGUUGUUGUUUUUUGUUGUUAAAAGUUUAUACUAUAAACAAUAUGAUGACAUUAAUGUGGAUUUUCACCAUG